ACAAAAUUUGAAUUAAAAAUGAAAUAAAAAGGUUUUAAAAUGGAAAUUAAAAUGGUUAAAAAUGGAAAAUAAAGAGAAAAUGCAAAACAAAUAUCAAAAUGUAAAAGAAAUGGAUGAAAAAAUUAUGAAAAGUCAAGAAUAUUACAAAUGAAAAGAUCUUAAAAUCUGGAUGCAAAAAUAUUUGCAAAUGAUUGAAAAAAUAAAUUGGAAAUGAAAAUUAAAAGGAAAAUGAAAUUAAAAA
rnacentral:lncRNA from 1 species